UGUGUGUUGGAAUCUUUCCACUACUGUUUGC
rnacentral:piRNA from 1 species